rnacentral:rRNA from 1 species
GUGGGGAAUAUUGGACAAUGGGCGAAAGCCUGAUCCAGCCAUGCCGCGUGUGUGAAGAAGGUCUUCGGAUUGUAAAGCACUUUAAGUUGGGAGGAAGGGUAGUAACCUAAUACGUUGCUACUUUGACGUUACCGACAGAAUAAGCACCGGCUAACUUCGUGCCAGCAGCCGCGGUAAUACGAAGGGUGCAAGCGUUAAUCGGAAUUACUGGGCGUAAAGCGCGCGUAGGUGGCUCAGUAAGUUGGAAGUGAAAUCCCCGGGCUCAACCUGGGAACUGCUUUCAAAACUGCUGAGCUAGAGUACGGUAGAGGGUGGUGGAAUUUCCUGUGUAGCGGUGAAAUGCGUAGAUAUAGGAAGGAACACCAGUGGCGAAGGCGACCACCUGGACUGAUACUGACACUGAGGUGCGAAAGCGUGGGGAGCAAACAGGAUUAGAAACCCCAGUAGUCC